CCAGAGGGGAAGUAGCUCUGGGUGCUCAUAGUUACAGUAGUAACCUUCUUACACCAGAGCUGAAGAGCAGUUCUUUUAGCGGGAUGGAAGAAAAGAAUCCCACGUGCACUUUUUGAUGGAUCUGCCCUUCUCUGCUGCAGCCUUCUGUAAAAGAUGGCAGUGGUACAUGUUCUGGAUGCAGGGCACCUCCAAAAGCUCCUUUUGCCUUCUGAUAAAUGGUGGUUAAAGCUUUUGCUGAACAAUUAUAGCAGUCGCUGCUCCUUGCUGAGGAUUCGGUUUCCCUGGGAGAAGAGAGGCCAUCAGAAAACAAACCCAUGGCAGCUGGUACAGCCUGCCUGCUGGAAACACAAAGCAGGAUUGUGGUGACAGUGCUGCCACCUUGACAGUGAGCAUCCCCUUACGUCGCUCCUGGAAACUGGAGCUCUGCUAACCCUGCUCUGAAUGCAAAACCUUCCCAGCUGGCUAUUUCUAGAUACCUGGGUGGUUGUUGGGAAGUUGUGACAUCAUCAUCAGGGAAAACAAAACUCUAAGUAUGUUUAUUGGGGGAGGUCUGUAUCGCUUGUAAGGUGAAGUGCUCCAUAAACAGGAAAACACUGAGAGAAAUAAACAUUAGCACUUAGCAGCUAAUUCAGAGGCAAGAAAUGGAGAGAGCAGAAUAUUGCAGUUCAUUCCUUUGACUGGCAUUGUAGACUGAUUACCUCUGUUUCGUAAUCUCUUCUCCCAGUAGCAAAUCUAAUCUGCCUACCAGCGUAAGUAUUCACCAGUGCAGUGCUCUCUUUUUGCAGCCGCAGAAGCAGAGCUUCUCUGGCUGAACCCCUCCAGCUGUGCUGCACCCUGCUGAGCUCAGACCCUGCUGCACAGUGCUGCAGUGCCCAUGCAGGGUGAAGGACAUCCCACUCGGUGGUGGCUGGGAAGGAGGGGAGGAGAAGGUGGUAUGAGUUGGGUCACAAGAACUGCAGCUAGGAGGAAAGACAACAUGAAGGAUGAGGAGGGGAAUGUAAAGCUGGGAAGGGACUACAAGUUCUGCUGUCAUGUCAUAAUUAGCAUUACAGAUCUGAUUUAGGGCAGACAUGCCUUACUUGUGUCAUGCAAUCCUGUCUUCUAUUUACUUGUGUAUGAAUGAACCUAGAACAAAAUUAAGUUAUCCCGUGGACAAGGUCUCUGUUUGCAGUUUUCAGUAAAAAUAUGUAUUUGCUUAGAAAUAUGAACAAGUUAGUAAAAAAAGCAAGCCGC
ensembl:lncRNA